UCGCUUGCGCAGCGCAUACACUGAAACUCGAACGAUACAGGGAUUAGCAGGCCUCUGUACAAGGAUGGCACGCCACUUUGUGAAAUGUUCCAUAUAGAA
rnacentral:snRNA from 12 species